GUUGUCCUCACAUAUUUAUACACUUCACAUCCCGGGAACCUAAGCAAUGUGAGACUUCAAACAAUCUCCAACAACACAACAACAUAUUCAACACCCACCCUCACGCCUAGCGUGGUCCUGGGUCAAAUGCCCACAUUGCAGUCCUUAACCCGGCUCUGAUACCAUGUUAAAUAUGUUUGGAUCUCAUCCCCAAAAGCUAG
rnacentral:lncRNA from 1 species